UUUCAUACAUGUAAUAUGAUUGUUUAACGCUCUCGUUUGGCAUUCUGCAGCAUAUUACCCUUGGUAAAUAAGCUGUGGUACAGGUUAGUCGAGGUUCUUUUCUACGGGACAUCUGACUGUCCACUGAGGUCAUCUGUAACGUUAAACCAUGGAUGUAGGCUAUAUUGCGUUUUCUGAUGAAUAGAUUAAAAAUAAAUCUGUCCACACGAAAAUGCCUAAACUAUUGGAAAACUGCUAAAUCUAUGAGUGGGAAGGGCUGUGUGAUUACUCUGCUCAGGUGAACCACUUUUCUGUCCACUCCUAGUCUCUGUAUAGUGUUUUUAAUGAAUACUACACAGCUGAAGUCACAAACUAGUUGUUCUCAUUUAGAUAUUGUUCUAGCUAUUGUCAGACAGAAUGACAAAAAUGGCGAUUUGAGUGGUUCGACUUAGCGUGCUGUGUGAUAGUUGUCUUCAUAACUUUACUGCCACACAGCCUCCAGGCCCGUCUGGAAGGGCUUAUAUUAUUUUUUUCCCUGUUGAUACUAAAAUGCAAAGCCAGUCUUUCAGAUGGAUCCACUGUGGAGAGAGCCAGUAGGGCCGAGAUCCUCCUAGUGCAGAGGUGCGCAAAUUCUUUCAUCUAAAAGUCAUGUCUGUGUUAUUCAACAAAAGACAAGCAAUAAAUUAUUGUAUAGUAUGAACAACACAAGAUUAGAUAGAUUAAACAAGGCAAGGCCUGCAGUGAUGAUGAAAUUAGGUAAUGCAUUCAUUUAUAUGAAUGGCAUCUUUUAUUUAACUGCUUCAAUCACUGUAGUAUAUUGAACACUGACCAAGGUCUGACUUUCUGACUUUCAUAGGAAUUUUUGGUGUAAACAAAUAUUCAUAUGAAAGUCAGAAACAAAUCACACAAACUAAAGUUCAGAUUGCAGAAAUAUAAAAACAAAUAUGUGGCUUUACACUUAGUGGUAACUGUUGAAACAACGCGGCCACGCUGCUGGGAAAGUUCCCUGAACUCAUUUAUCAGAGUCUGGUUGUUACCCCUCUCCGCGGCAGUCUCCUCCGCUCCAUAUCUUUAUAACGGCGCUAGCUAGCUA